ACCGUCUGGGCGUUCUCUCCAGAGAAUCUGCAAUCCAGGCGGACAGAAACCGUGGUUGGCGAAGGAGAGAGGUCGCCCGGCCUGGGUUCAGGAGCGUCCUGGUCAGAGACGAGGGGUUCCCACCUACUAGUCUGGGCAUAACCAGAAGGAGACGAGUGACUUCGAGAGUCCCACGCCCGGAGAAGGCGGAGUUUGAGUUCCGAUAAGUGCCCUGAAGACCCAUUUGAGCACAGUCUGAGAGUCGGGCAUGACAUCAAGGAAUGAGGAUGUGAGAAAGGCGUGAUAGGAAGAAGGCACGGCCUGGACAAAGGGACCAGGAUCCCUGUUGGAAGGACGAUCCCCAGGCCUCACUGCAGGGCUGCUUCCUUCUUGGAACCCGGCUGGGCAGCGGUCUUCAGAGCGCGCAGGGUCCCUGGGUGGCCUCAGGUGCCCAGGUGCGAAGUUGGAUGGGCUGGGGGCUCCAAGAGGGCCUGCUCCUGGCUCCCCAGGGGUUUCCAUGGCGGGGAGCUCCUUCGGUUUCUCCUGGGACUCAGAAAGACAAGCCAGCCCCCAAGGCAAGAGC